UUUUCCGCUGGUUUUACUGCUUUUGGGGUUCCUUUUCUUGUUUGGACGGUUGUGUUUGCGGUUCCUUUUCUUUCGCUAUGAGUUUGACUCUCUCUUAGACUUUGUUUUCUUCUUUAUCAAAUAUGUGAGCUAGUUUGUUUCUGUGAAUUUUUGGGAAAAAGAUUGGAAGCAAUGUUGAGGUUCUGAGGUUCAUUUUGCUGUAUUUUGGUUGUUUCUUUUGGUUUCAGGACGAUUCCUAUUGAUGAUAAUGCCCAAAUUUGAAGGAUUUACGUGUAUAUCAGCCUUAGAGAGGAGAUCUGCUACUAAAUAUUACAUUUUCCAAUAGGCCGAACCUUUUACCAAUCACGUGAUGGCCUCCAUCCCGGAGCCUCUUUUUGGUGGACGCAUUAACGUAGUACAGAGUUAUGGUCCUGAUACGCUAGCUGGCUCUAUGAUGUACGACUUCUUUAUGAGAAAUUGGCUGCUGUUGUGACGAAAAAAAAGGGGUCAGAGGAGCCACUUGGACUUUUCUUCACACUCUUGCUGCUCAGGAGGCUUGCAACAACACUAGAGUAAUUGGUAUGUGAAGUAGAUCGAGGAAGAUCCCUGCAAAGUUUAUCUUGAAGUAGAGGAAAAUAACUAACUUGUAAAGCUUAAUUUUGUAAAUUUUGGUAGAAGCUCCAUUCCUUUUGUAACAUUCAUGAGGAAAAUUAAAAUGUAAUAUUUCUUUUUAUAUAAGCUUCAU